rnacentral:rRNA from 1 species
UUUCCUACGGGACGCAGCAGUGAGGAAUAUUGGUCAAUGGGCGGGAGCCUGAACCAGCCAAGUCGCGUGAGGGAAGACGGUCCUAUGGAUUGUAAACCUCUUUAGGCGGGGAGCAAUGCCGGGCACGUGUGCCCGGCGGGAGAGUACCCGCAGAAUAAGCAUCGGCUAACUCCGUGCCAGCCGCCGCGGUAAUACGGAGGAUGCGAGCGUUAUCCGGAUUUAUUGGGUUUACAGGGUGCGUAGGCGGAUUUUUAAGUCAGCGGUAAGAUGUCCGGGCUCAACCCGGGCCGGCCGUUGAAACUGGG